rnacentral:rRNA from 1 species
UACAGAGGUCCCAAGCGUUGUUCGGAUUCACUGGGCGUAAAGGGUGCGUAGGCGGCCGGGUAAGUCUGAUGUGAAAUCUCACAGCUUAACUGUGAAACUGCAUUGGAUACUAUCCGGCUCGAGGAAUGGAGGGGAGACUGGAAUACUUGGUGUAGCAGUGAAAUGCGUAGAUAUCAAGUGGAACACCAGUGGCGAAGGCGGCUCUCUGGGACGGUACUGACGCUGAGACGCGAAAGCGUGGGGAGCGAACAGG